UCUGAUCCACCAGUGAUUCUUAUUUCUAACAUAUCAGUAACUAAUAACAGACUUUGGUUUAGGCUAAUAAUAGGCUUGUUGAUGUACUCAGGAGGAUAAAGCCUUGCUAGUUUGCUCUCAUUGUAGAGCAUAAGCAACCCCAGCUGAGGAAUCAAUCAUAAGUUCAAAAACAGUGAUUCUGUCUUUGCAGAACAACUAUAGAAAGGAAAAUAAGAACAAAAUUCUACUUCAUCAAGCUUUUACUUCUAUUUGGUAUCCUCUGUUCUUACUUAACAACGGAGUAUCCAGUCCUGCACAGAUCCCAUCGGAAUAGCAACAAGAGGAACUCGCCACAGGAGAGGCUUGUACUCUUUCCUCCUUUCCCAUCCUACAUGUGGUGCGUGCUGGAUUUUUUAUUUUCAGCUCCCAUUUUGCACGCUUAGCACACAGCCUCUGCUCACUGCAGUGGUAAAGUAUGUUCCCUCCACAUACUCAAGUGCACUCAUGCAGGUAAUAACUGAGCAUAGCAAUUAAAAAGCGCAGGUUGUAAGAAGUUGUGACAAUUGUACAAGCUACCCUGAGCAGCAUAGGCAUGGCUUACUGCAGAUGCCUGAAGAGCAGAAUAAAAUAUCUUUUUUUGCGUAGGUAAAGGGUGGCUAUGCCACGUACUUACAGGUUGAGUGUCAGCUUUUUGCCUGGACAGAGUAACUCUAGAAUAUCUUGAUGCCUUCAGUGAGAUUUUCAGGUUAUAUCUACUGCAUUUACCUUCACAAUUUCUGGCCCUGCAGUGACUGUUAUUAGCACCAGGCCUCUAAGGAUUUCCACAACUACUCUAAAUUCCAUUUUCAUCAAUAAAACUAGACACAUUACUAUUUUUUUAUACUAGUGUGUUUGCAGGAUUAGAACCUUGAAGUGUUUCUCAAUCACUUUUAAAAAAAAAAUAAAGCAAUGUUCUUUUUAAUAACUUCCUAACCAGUUUAGUCAUAUCUACUUAUUUUAUGCUAGUUCACUACAGGCACAAGCAAAAAGUGGUAUGUGUUUCAGCUCCGCCUUUAACAGAGUUGCUGAUUAUGAGCUAAUUGGUUAAAAUCAAACACUUGUACAGGCCUCUUAUUGCCUAGUUGGGUUUGGAAAUCCUGUAUUUCAGCUGAAAAAGAUUGAGAAGAACCUUACCUAGCUUACAAAUGGAAUGUGUAAGGUUUGCAGCUGGGGAGCAAAAGCCACAUACAGGUAUCUUGCAUGUUCUCUUUAAACCUUUGUUUAGCACAGAUGCCCAGUGUAGAAGAAAUAAAGCCACAAUCUUCUGAUGAGCCUGAUUCUGAUUCUAAGUUUGAGGAUGAACCAACAGAGGAAGAAAACCAGAAUGACACAUCCGGUAUAGAAACACAAGAGGAGACGCAAUCCGGUGGAUCUCUGGGGAGUCUAAGGCCCAAGCCAGCUUAUCUGAGUUCAAAACCAAAACGGCAAAUGCAAAGUCGUCUUGCUGCAAUGUCAGGCAAUGGGUCUCGGAGCCGAAAGGUGAGACCUUCCCAUGUGGGGAAGAGUGAUCUUUGUAACAUUGUGAUGAAGGGGCUGAGAAGGGAAAGCUGGUCACUAUUCACAGUCCUGCCUACUCAUUUACAUUGCUUGGAUUUUUGAAUUGCAGCAACAGAGCUGUUGUACACCAUGCUUUCUUCUCUCACCUGGAACUUUGUCUGCCAGUUGCUCCAGAUCUCUAAUGUCCUGAGGAUUGAACUGCUGCCAUCCUCUCUGAAUAUGAACAUGGCUCAGCUGUUUGUUUUGCUGGGUGAAAAAGCUGUGAAAAUCCUGGGCUGCCUGAGGCUGGAGAGCAGGGGGCUGUUAGCCUCAGUCCUAGGGAGGAGAUAUAAGGAAACUGGAACAGAGUGAUGAAGCUCAGAGAACCACCUCAGGGUAGAAAUAAAGCAGGUAGUCCCAUGACCGCUAGCAGCAAUCCCAUUCACCAUCAGUGGGAGCUACUACAGCACGGCAGAGGGAGGUUGAGGCUCUGAAAAGGAAGCCUAGUCAGGACUAAGUCAACGUACACCCAAGUCAAAACAGCUACUUCCAGAGUCAACAGUAUUGACUGGCUAGAUAUUAAAUGGACGACAGCAGCCAGCCUCUUGUCCAGAGCUUGCGUGCAUACUCUGCUCCCCUCCCACUUUAGAAAGGGAUGACUUCCUUUUUUUAUAAGGACCAAACACUCCACUGGCACCAGCGAUACUUUCUGUUCACUACUACUGAUCUUUGAUUUCAAGCAAAUAAGAUCAAGGCAGUAGCUCUCAGUAGUGGUGCUAACUGGAGCUUAAAUGCAGUACAGCCCAGUGACUAGUUUACUCAUACUGAAAGUAGGACUUUUCUGGUCUUCAGCUUGUCCUUUCUCAAAGCAGGGAAGAACUUUUCAAUGCUCAUACAUGAAACAAGCCUACCCCCAAUUAACAAGAAAUAAUUAAGCCCUUAGCAGAUACUGAGUAUGCAUUUCCUUCAUUUCUGUCCAGGAUAUGCCUUUUCAGCGCUGCUGACAGGCUGAUAUAGGGUUAGACCACAGACCACAGGGGCACUCAUUGACGGACUGGUUUGUGCCGUUGGUGGGACCACAAGGAGGUUGGUGGGGCUGGGAUGAGCUGUGAUUUUUGUGGCCUGAGGGUUUAUCCAGUUGUUAGGCUGUGAACAGAACAACUGCUUGCUCCUGGUGCUGCUGAUGCACACGUUCAACAAACUUUUUUUUUUUAAAGAGGACUUGAAUUAGGAAGUCGUAUCCCAAAAAGUACAUUGCCGCUUGUGAAAACGUUUGUCUCUGUUCCUCGUGCGAAGUAACCGUGUCUCUCCAGAGCCUUGCAUGGGCAGACUGGGUAACAGUCUCAGUAACCUGCACUAAUUAUGAAGGAUGCCUUCUUUAUGUUUACUUGCCUUUCCCUCCCCAUCCCCUAAAGGCCACGUGUCCAAAUAUUUGUCUGGAGCAGUAUGCUCUUAAAUAAAACUUAUUUGUCCACAUCUAUAUUUUUGUAGGUGCUUUAUUUAGAAGAAAAAACAUUAAUAUUUGCCGUUCCCCAGCUGUUUGCGGAGGAAAUGCCUGCCUCUCGCUCUGCCCGGAGGGUGACUCGGGUACUUCUCCUUCGGGGGCGGCCCGUUUCUUCCCCGGUCUGCCGGGGGCAGCGGGCCGGGGUGGG